rnacentral:rRNA from 1 species
UUUUAACACGAAGUGAGUGGCGGACGGGUGAGUAACACGUGGGUAACCUGCCCAGAAGCAGGGGAUAACACCUGGAAACAGAUGCUAAUACCGUAUAACAGAGAAAACCGCCUGGUUUUCUUUUAAAAGAUGGCUCUGCUAUCACUUCUGGAUGGACCCGCGGCGCAUUAGCUAGUUGGUGAGGUAACGGCUCACCAAGGCGAUGAUGCGUAGCCGACCUGAGAGGGUAAUCGGCCACAUUGGGACUGAGACACGGCCCAGACUCCUACGGGAGGCAGCAGUAGGGAAUCUUCCACAAUGGACGCAAGUCUGAUGGAGCAACGCCGCGUGAGUGAAGAAGGGUUUCGGCUCGUAAAGCUCUGUUGUUAAAGAAGAACGUGGGUGAGAGUAACUGUUCACCCAGUGACGGUAUUUAACCAGAAAGCCACGGCUAACUACGUGCCAGCAGCCGCGGUAAUACGUAGGUGGCAAGCGUUAUCCGGAUUUAUUGGGCGUAAAGCGAGCGCAGGCGGUCUUUUAAGUCUAAUGUGAAAGCCUUCGGCUCAACCGAAGAAGUGCAUUGGAAACUGGGAGACUUGAGUGCAGAAGAGGACAGUGGAACUCCAUGUGUAGCGGUGAAAUGCGUAGAUAUAUGGAAGAACACCAGUGGCGAAGGCGGCUGUCUGGUCUGUAACUGACGCUGAGGCUCGAAAGCAUGGGUAGCGAACAGGAUUAGAUACCCUGGUAGUCCAUGCCGUAAACGAUGAUUACUAAGUGUUGGAGGGUUUCCGCCCUUCAGUGCUGCAGCUAACGCAUUAAGUAAUCCGCCUGGGGAGUACGACCGCAAGGUUGAAACUCAAAAGAAUUGACGGGGGCCCGCACAAGCGGUGGAGCAUGUGGUUUAAUUCGAAGCUACGCGAAGAACCUUUACCAGGUCUUGACAUCUUCUGCC